rnacentral:lncRNA from 1 species
ACAAAAGAUUAAAUGGUGGAAAAUGAAAAUCAAUUGAUAAAAAAAAGUUUCAAUCGGCUAAAAUGGAGGAAAAUGGUCGGAGAAGGAAGAAACCCUAAUCUGAGGUUGGAGAUUGAAAAAGAAGAACGAAGAUGUGGUUCUGUUAUGAAGAAGAAGGUGAAACAGAACCUAAUUGAUGGUGACGAAGGACUCUCGAGGACGACGAACUCUCCCGCGGAUGUCGAAGGUGAGAAGAGAAUGAGUGUGCGCGAGUGGAGUUGAGAGAAAUGAAGAAUUCUCUCUCUGAUGCGUGAGAGAGAAUUUGUCUAAUGAUUUGGAUGGCUGACGAUGAGAGAGAAGCAUGGUGGAGCUUUGGAAAAUGGAAAGUGGAAAUGGUGCUUGGAAGGUGGCUAGAGGAGGUCUCUUGGACUCUCUAGCCUGACUUUCAAGAGAGAAUAGUUUCUGAAUUAGAAAAUUCUAUUCUCAAUAUUCUCAAAAGUGAGUAGUACAAGUGAGGAGCUGUGUAUUUAUAGUGACUCAUGCUCCUUGCAAGCUACACUACAGAUACAAUAAAAUGUAAAAAGAGGACUACAUGAGACAGGAUUCCAUCAUACCCUCCCUCUUAAAAAAAGAUUUGUCCUCAAAUCUGGUAAUCGCCUUAUUAAGAAGCUCCACACAUUCUUUGGAGCAUGGCCAUCUUGGAAUGGCCUUAUUCUUUUAGAUCCACUUUUCUUCCUCCUGGAUCGAAGACGAAUCUGCAAUAUGCAUCAAAUAUAUCUUCAAUUUAUACCAAUCCAAAGAGGAAAUUUUCUACAAAAACAAGAGAAUAAGGACUCCUAGUAUUUUGAUUUCUUUAAAAAUGUUAGAAGUCCAAAUUCAAUAUUGUCUUGAGUUACUUGUUUUCUUGAAGAUAACAAUAACUCAAGAUUUGAAUUGCCAUAGUUUGAAAAUGUUUGCAUAGAAUAUGGAACGACAAUUGGUUGGAAAGAGAAAUCAAAACUGGAAGAGUGAAUAAUGAUGGGAAAAGAUUGAAAACCUUCCCUUUUAAGAUUGGGUUCUAUGGUUGGAGUCAAAAUUGCUCUUAGUAGCACUUCCUCCUUUUCUUUCUUUUCCCUUUCUUGUCUUUCCUCUUCUUGUUCUCUUCUCUUUUUCUCUUCUCUUCUUCUCUCCUCUCUUCUCAUCUUAUUCCCUCCCGUCUCUCUUCUUCUUCUUUCUCUCUUUGCUCUUCUCUCUUUCUCUUCUCUUCUUUCCUUUCUUCCUUUUCUCUUCUCUCAAUCUCUCUUUCUCUUUUCUUAUCCAUGAUCUCUUUAAAUCUUGCCCCAAAUUCUAACUCUCUCCUAAGAAACCCAUGAUCAUUUAAACUCUCAAGAAAGAUUCUUCCAUUUUCAAUGCAAUCUUUAAUUAAUUCUAGGUUUCUUUUAAUGCUUGAAGGCACAAACUUUCUUCUCAUGCAAGCUUUUAAAUCACACCAAUCAUGAAUGGGAGACUUCCUACCUUUCCUAACAUGAUAUUGCCUUUCAUCCCACCAUUCACUUGCAUGUCUUUCUAACUUAGAGAGAUAAAUGCUAAGAACAUAAGACUCACUCUCUCUAUAAAACCAAGGAUUUAUUUUAUCUAUCUCUUGUUCCCAAGCUAGGUAUGUUAAUGCACCUAUGUGUUUGCCAAAAAAUGAAAGAUUCCUAGCUUGAUUAAACUUUUCAUCAACUUUAUCUAAAGUAGACAACCUAUAUGAACUAGAAGACCUAGAAGAAGACAUAUAUGAAUUAUAACAAGACAUCUUUGCUUUUAAAAGUUUUCUUAAUCUAAAGGACUAAAAGCUUCCACUUUAGACAAAUUCCAGGUAAGAGAGGUGAACCACUAAGGUUGCUUAAAUACCAAGUCUUGCCUUAGCCAAAUUUGCCUUAAGCUACUAACUAUUUAUCCUUUAAACAAAAAUCACUUUUAAAAUCAAAGACUCAACUCACAAACAAUUAACGGACUCUAAGAACCCCUAAACAUUCGGACUCUAAUGUGACAAAGGUCACACCUACACGUGAACACAAACAAAUACACUAAAAUUAAAGAAAGCAAUAAAAGCUUCCAAGAGUCAGAAAGAGCACUAAGAACUCUUCCAAUCUACUUGGACUUUAUAAGAGGCCUUUACAACACAGAGCUAAAACUAACAUUGACACUGGGCUGACACAAGCCCAUCAAAUACAUAGAAAAAAAAAAAAACUAAACUAAGCUACUGGUCUUGUUCAAUCUCUGCAGAAAAGUCAUGGCCCACUCUCUUGUUGCUACGGUAUCAGCCUGGUCCUAGUCCACUUCAUUCAUCUUGAACAAAAUCUUCAAGUGUCCAAAUAUGCUUUUCAUUUCAAUCUUCUGCACAAAAAAUUCAAAGUUGAAUUCAACAAAACUUCCAAAGCUUAAACUUGGCAAUUUAAUUAGAAACAACUCAAACAAGAUAAAAGUAAUGAAUUAAACAACUCCCUUUCAACUUAUAUGGCUGCUUCUAGUUGUUCAACUUCACUCAGUUCAAAUCUUAUUAUUCUCUCUGGCUUUCACGUGUUCACUUGAUGAUCCUUGCAAACUCCAACUAUAUCAGCAGUUCCAUUCUUCACUUGUAAACAUCCUACACUGCAUUCAUUAAACUAAUGCACUAGCUAUAUGACACCAAUUAAAUCAGACCUGCACAGCUAAUCCAAAAACAGCAGAUACACCAAAUAAUAGCAUUGGUAGAUUGAAAUUAAUAGGUAGCCAUAAACAGACUUAGAUUUAAGUGCAUAAACAAUUUUUAAAAACUGAUACAAUGUAGGGCAAAUGAGGAACGAAUUGACUCACAAGCUUAAGUACUCCAAACGAAUCAACUUAUGUACAAACCAGUUCACGUAUAACUAGCUAAGUGGCAUGCAAAGGUAUGCAAUCAAACACUUUGAACAAGACUGAAAUCUACUUUUAACCAAUUCAAGGAAACUGUUUUUCUUAAUGCAAUUGGACUGACAAUUUCACAAAGAAGGAAGUGAUAGUUCUAAUUGAGACUCAACACAGGUUUCAACAAAUUUAUUCAACCAUGAAGUCAACAAUCACUUUCAAAAACAGUUAUGAUAAUAGUGAUUCAACAAAGAAUUUAAAUUCCAAAAUGAAUGCAAGAGCAGAUUAAGAUGGAUUCAAAAACAGCUGCUCCAAUUUGAUCAGUCAAGCUCUUUUUCCUGCACAGUGAACAAUCUUAAAAUAGUGAGCAACAUAGUUAAGUAAAGAUCAACUUUCUCUCACAAAUUGUCAAGCAAAUUAGGCUAAAACAGCCUCACAAAACUCCCAUCACUUAGGUUUCUCUAAAAAAAACAUAAAGCACACAAGGACAGGUUUGGAAGGGAUAUUCUCCCUUGUCAGUUCAAGGCUGGAUAGUCUUUAAGACCACCACCACCUAAGAUGUUACCAAGCAGACAAACCUUUUUCAAAUUUCCAAAAAAACCAGAGUUAAAGUGUUUCUCAAACCAGAUUGGCUAGGCAAAGUUCACAGUAAUGGACAGACAUGUAAAACAGAACAGGACAGCCACUAAAGCAAAGAAAUUGACAUCACAGCAUAUCAGACUAGCUCAAAACAAGCUCUAGAUCAGAUUAUUAAAGCAAUUAAAGCUCAAAUUAAGAACAAUAGAAUAAAUUGCACUUGUAAUGGACAAAACCAAGAUAGCCAAUAAUUGACAAGCAAGAAACAAAAGCUUUCAAGAAGAGCUGGCACACAAACAAAACCUAGGAAUAGAUCUAGAUCAGAUUUAAAAAACAAGAAAAAGACUUAAGUUGAACCAGUUAUGAAUGAAAACAGAUAUAUCUGAUUUUGGCAGAGAUAGUUUACUGAAACAGUGAAUACUAUUGUGAAUUGCACCAGUUCUGUUUGCUUUUUUUUUUUAAUCACAAUUUGAUAGCCCAAUCUGAUUUGGAUGACACUUUAGAACUUGCUAUUUUCAGUCACAAUUCNCAACAGAUCACCUAAUCAACUUUUCAACUUAAUCAAAUUUUUUUGCUAAAGGAAAUUAAACAUGGUUCAACUCAGAAAAAUCCAAAGGAAAACAAGAAAUUAAUCACUCUCAGCCACAGUUAUAGUUUCAAAUACCACUGGCUCAAGCUUCCUUGAGUGACCAAAAAAAUACAUACUCAACUGCAGAAUUGUUGUCAAGGUAUAUGCUCAGAAUGCACACUAUUAACCACAUUCAGAAGUUCAAAAACAAGUUCAAACACUGUUGCAAUCAAUUUCAAUGCAAUUCUGCAGAAUCUCAGACCACAGUAGAUGCCAAAGAGACAAUAUCAAUGACUAUACUGGAAAAAUUGAACCAGAACUUUGCAAAGAUUCUAAACCCAAGUAUGAAUGACACCAAGACUCUCAAGCCACAUUCAGUAUCGGUGAAACUGAUUAAACAGAUUCAAGAAACAUGUUAUUUCAUCCAAUGUUGCCACAGAAAUCGAGCUCAUUCAAUUGAAUGUCAUGGCUCUUAAUGAUUGACAUGAGUCAAACAAGGCAGAGACCAAACUUAACUCAUGACUUGACAAUUACAAAGGUUAAACUCAUAUUCAUAUGACAAAUCAAAUAAACAACAUGACUAAGACAUUACAGAAAUGGAUUUAGAAAAUAAAAUGACUCAGCAAAUGCUUCACCGAAUAAAGAUAAGAAUAAGACUCAAAUCAAAAAAACAAAGGCACAGAACGAGAAAACGGUUCAAGACAUUAAACGAAAUGAUGAACAACGCGGAAAUGGAAAGAAACACAACAAAAUACUCAGAAUCAUACCGAGACAAAAUAAGAUGAACUAAAAACAGACAAUACCGAAUCAAAACACAAAACUAACAACAGAUUCAGAGACAAAAACGAGAAUCAACACAGAAACAAGAAUCAAGACAAAACAGAAAUGGAAACAGAUAUACUUAUCUCUUGUAGCGUGGACGAACCGAAGCUCUGACUACCACUUGAUGGAAGAUGCCUGAGGAACUGACCGAUUGGCACGACGCGAACUCGAGCUAGAGGUUCCUCGAAGCGGUUCCGAAUGAAGAAUGCAGCGGAAUAACAAAAAUAACAAAGAAAAUAAUGUUAGAAAAACCUAAUCAGACACUGAGAAACCCUAAAACCUCAAAUCAAUCGGUGAAAACACGAGNUGAACAUGAAGAAACCCUAAAAUGGAGAGGAGAUUCAAAAUAAACCGAUUAAUCGGUUCAAACAAAAGAUUAAACGGUGGAAAAUGAAAAUCAAUUGAUAAAAAAAAGUUUCAAUCGGCUAAAAUGGAGGAAAACGGUCAGAGAAGGAAAGAAACCCUAAUCUGAGGUUGGAGAUGGAAAAAGAAGAACGAAGAUGUGGUUGUAUUACGAAGAAGAAGGUGAAACAGAACCUGAUUGACGGUGACGAAGGACUCUCGAGGACGACGAACUCUCCCGCGGACGUCGAAGGUGAGAAGAGAAUGAGUGUGCGCGAGUGGAGUUGUGAGAAAUGAAGAAUUCUCUCUCUGAUGUGUGAGAGAGAAUUUGUCUAAUGAUUUGGAUGGUUGACGAUGAGAGAGAAGCACGGUGGAGCUUUGGAAAAUGGAAAGUGGAAAUGGUGCUUGGAAGGGGGCUAGAGGAGGUCUCUUGUACUCUCUAGCCUGACUUUCAAGAGAGAAUAGUUUCUGAAUUAGAAAAUUCUAUUCUCAAUAUUCUCAAAAGUGUAUAGUACAAGUGAGGAGCUGAGUAUUUAUAGUGACCCAUGCUCCUUGCAAGCUACACUACAGAUACAAUAAAAUGUAAAAAGAGGACUACAUGAGACAGGAUUCCAUCAAGUAUCUAAAAAUAAAAGAUAAAUAUAGGAUAUCUAACGUAUAUAAUGUAGGGAGGUUCGACACUCACACGUACACAUAAGUCUGCACAUUGAUCAGAUAUUGUCCACUUUGGGUCAAGCCCUCAUAGAUUUGCUUUUGGUACCACUCCAAAAGGCCCUCUUAUCAAUGGAGGUAUCUUAUGUGUAUAUAAACUCAUGUCCAUCUCUCAUUUUUUCUUAUGUGAGACUUUGUUUGUACCCAACAUCCUCCCCUACAACGGAAGUCUUUUUCUUUCUUAUCCUCAGUACACCAUGGUCAACACUUCUCUCUCACAAUCCAUGGUCAAACACUGAGCAUCUCUUGCUCUCCACCUCUCAUGAUUCACUUCCGGGCUAUCUGCCACUCGCCACCUGCCAAAGAUUCACCUGAUCAUGGAGGAACAUACUCGACUGAGCUCGGUCACUAGACCCGAACCAUGGGCUCUGAUACCAUUGGUAGGGAGGUUCAACAGUCACACAUACACAUAAGUCUCCACAUUGAUAAGAUAUUGUUUGCUUUGGGUCAAGCCCUAUCGAAUUUGCUUUUGGUACCACUCCAAAAGGCCUCUUAUCAAUGGAGGUAUCUUAGGUGUAUAUAAACUCAUAUCCAUCUCUCAUUUUUUCU